rnacentral:lncRNA from 1 species
GGUAAAAUGGUAAUUUUGGUGAGAAUUAUUUUAAUAUUUAGUGAGAACCCUUAUUUUACUAAGUUACUAGUGUAGUGAUUAGUUUUUACCGUUAGUGACCGUUCGUUAUAUUUUACCGUUGUUAGUAAUUACCGUUGAGUGUAUAGAAACUUUUUAGAAUUAUGUUAGAAUGGGUUAGGCCCAUUAGAAUUUGGAAUUGAGCCCAUUAAGGGAGAUAACAUUAGGGUUGUCAUAGAAAAU